rnacentral:rRNA from 1 species
UUCCGUAGGUGAACCUGCGGAAGGAUCAUUACCGAGUGAGGGCCCUUUGGGUCCAACCUCCCACCCGUGUUUAUUUUACCUUGUUGCUUCGGCGGGCCCGCCUUUACUGGCCGCCGGGGGGCUCACGCCCCCGGGCCCGCGCCCGCCGAAGACACCCCCGAACUCUGUCUGAAGAUUGAAGUCUGAGUGAAAAUAUAAAUUAUUUAAAACUUUCAACAACGGAUCUCUUGGUUCCGGCAUCGAUGAAGAACGCAGCGAAAUGCGAUACGUAAUGUGAAUUGCAAAUUCAGUGAAUCAUCGAGUCUUUGAACGCACAUUGCGCCCCCUGGUAUUCCGGGGGGCAUGCCUGUCCGAGCGUCAUUGCUGCCCUCAAGCCCGGCUUGUGUGUUGGGCCCCGUCCUCCGAUUCCGGGGGACGGGCCCGAAAGGCAGCGGCGGCACCGCGUCCGGUCCUCGAGCGUAUGGGGCUUUGUCACCCGCUCUGUAGGCCCGGCCGGCGCUUGCCGAUCAACCCAAAUUUUUAUCCAGGUUGACCUCGGAUCAGGGUAGGGUUUCGCCGUUGAACUUAAGCAUAUCAAUAACCGGAGGAAAUU